CCCUUAGAUGUCCUGGGCUGCACGCGCGCUACACUGAUGUGUCCAGUAAGCAUCUAACCUAUUCCGAGAGGAGCGGGUAACCUUAGCAAAGCACAUCGUGAUGGGGAUAGAUUAUUGCAAUUAUUAGUCUUGAACGAGGAAUUCCUAGUAAGCACAAGUCAUCAGCUUGUGUUGAUUACGUCCCUGCCCUUUGUACACACCGCCCGUCGCUCCUACCGAUUGAAUGUUCCGGUGAGCUCUUCGGACUGCGCGGUCUGCAGUUUCUGCGUUCCGUGCGGAAAGUUGUGCAAACCUUAACAUUUAGAGGAAGGAGAAGUCGUAACA
rnacentral:rRNA from 1 species